GAAGGGACCCCAGAGCCUCCCUCCCCCUUCAUAUUCUCUCUCUCUCUCUCUCUCUCUCUCUCUCUCUCUCGAUCUAUCUCUGUCUCUCCUCUCACUCUCCUCUCUCUCCUCUCCUCUGUUUUCCAUGUGAGGACCCAGCAAGAAGGCAGCCAUUGUUGAACCAGGAAGAGAGCCCUCAUCACAUCUCCAGGUUGCUGGGACUUUGAUGCUGGACAUCCCAUCCUCUAGAAACAUGCUGUGAAUCUAGAAUCCUUGGAGACCACCACCCAGCAUGACGCCGAGUCAGAGAAGCAAUAACAAGAGGGUCACCAGAGUCACUGUCACCCUUCCAGGCAGAGUGGACAGUGAGAGAGAAAGAGAGAAAGGUCUUCCUUUGCCGUUGCUUCACCCUCCAGUAGCCGCCGCGGCCAGUGCGCUGCGGCCGGAUCCGAAGGCAGGAGCCAGGUGCUUCUCCUGGUCUCCCAUGGGGUGCAGGGCCCAAGGACUUGGGCCAUCCUCCACUGCACUCCCUGGCCACAGCAGAGAGCUGGCCUAGAAGAGGGGCAACCGGGACAGAAUCUGGCACCGCGACCAGGACUAGAACCCGGUGUGCCGGCGCCGCAAGGCGGAGGAUUAGCCUAGUGAGCCGCGGCUCUGGCCAAUGUUCUAAUAUAAGUUUAAUUAUAUCUUCUAUAUUAUUACCUCUUUUUCAGCUACUUGCAAAAAAUUUUUGAUUCUAUAAAUAUCACUAUAUAAAAUACAAUACUGUUAUUUGCUGCACAAUAUUCAAAACUGUUGGAUCUUCAUUAUAUGAAUUGUACAUGUUGGUAUAAUACCUCAUUUCUUUAAUUACUUUUUUCUCUGAAUUAUACCUUGACUUAUAAAAUUCCAAUAUAUUCUCUCCCUUAAUUUUCAUUUUCCUUGUGUGCACACACAUACACACACACACACUCAUACAUCUAUUUUCAAACAUUCUGAAUCACCUGGUUUUAGAUGUGCAUCUUAAAGUACAACAGAGUGUAAUUUUGCUUUGUGAUCCUGUCUGAUUCUUUUCAUGGGUUAAAUUAAGGCCAUUUGCAUGCCUUGAUAUGGCAGAUUUACUUGUCCAUAAAUGUACUACUUAGUACUACCUGCAUUGGUCAUUGGUUUUAUAUACUAAAAAGGUCUUUCCCUGUGUUGUCUUCUUUUUAUUUUUUGUUCUAAUUUAGAAAGGUUUCUAAUUUUUGUUCUUGUGACUUACUUUUACACCUUUAAGUAAUACCCUACAUUUCUAAUUUCAUUGGAUAUAAUAUAUUUGUUCUUUAUUAACAGCAACAAUAAAAUCAGAUAGUCAUAGAUUCUCCCCUACACCAUUACCUUUGUGGUCUUAUGUUGAAAUUCUAUUACUUGAUUACAUAGGUUUAGAGGGUUCCCUUUGGCUCCCAGCUAUAAUACAUGAAGCAUUGACAUGCUUAUCCUACUUUCCAAUGCCUGCCUCUUUCAUUUGUAUUUGAUUAGUUGUUUUAUUUGUGCAUUGUCAGAAUAUAUGGGCUCUGGAUUCUGCUCUAUGCACCUCUACUGUAGAAGGACAUGCAGUGUUUGGUAGCCUCCAAAACACUACCAGGCAGCCGCAUAACACAGACUGCACAACAGGAAGGCUCUCGAGUGCAAUUAAGUCAUUUGGAUUCCAUGUUAAUUCAGUUACUUUCAAACACACAGUGAGAAACUAGAGGACUUCAUACAAGGUGCCAGAAGGCCAAGACCCCAAGUUUGUGCGACCUCUGCUUGUGUAUGCCAAGCAGUCCAGGCUGUGUUGCCUCUAAUAACUCCUGAACAGUUCAGCUGAUUUCUUCUUUCUCUUUUGUAAAUCUCCUCCUCCAGGGACCAGGGGUUUUAUGGCCAACUCUACUUGAGGGGAAGGAGAUGGCCCAUUUUGGAGUCUGUAUCACUGACUGGGACAUGUUCUGAGAACUGCAUCUUUAGGCAGUCUCAUUGUUGUGCAAACAUCCUCAAGUACACUUUCACAACCCCAGAACAGUCACUCACUCAUCAUCACCUACUGAUCUAACCAAGAGUCAUGGUAGGCACAAGCAGUAUGAGGCUGCCGCUAGCAUAACACAGCAGAUGGUUUUAUAACAACCCUUUUUUAAAUAGUUGGAAGGAGGAGAAUCUAAAAUAAUAAUACGAGGUAUAAUAUAUAGUAGCAAAUAUAUUAGCCUGUAAGAAUCAUUAAUGAUCACUAUCAAUAAUAUUCUGUGCAUCACUGCUAGGAGCUGUACUUUACACAACUGAUAGCUCUGUAGUUGAUUUACGACAGCAUCACCACAUACAUGUAUGAGGAAUGCAGUAAACAAGGGUGUCACGAUGACUAUACAUCACUGGCAGUUGCUGAUGUCAUAACCUCAUGGGUUAUGUCCAUUAUAACUUCAUGGAACAGCCAUUCCGUAUUCACUUAGUCCUUGGCUGAAGGGAUUGUUCAGCGCAUGGCUGUCCUUGGUGGCUGCACGUGUCCUGAAGACCUCAGCUCUCUGAUGGGCGAAGAAAACUCUAAUUUUGUGACUCAUCCGUUUUUUGUUGUUGUUAACAAGCUACCUACCUUCCUACUGAUUUCCUAUGUCUAUACACAAGAGGAAACUGUGUAGUUACUUUUACCAUGGAAGUUUUCCUAUUUUAAAUAUAGGAACAUAUAAAAAAUAUUUAAAUUAUUAUAACAGUUUACAUUUUCUGUUCUUAAUUUUCUUUCCUCUUCCCAAUAUCCCCUCAGCCUCACCCCUCAAACAAUGCAACAUCAGAAAUGAAACACUUUCAAAGUUUGUCUUGAACGGGUGUAAAAGAAAAGCCAGAUAGUCUGUGGCUGCUUUCAUCAUUUGUACAGAAUGAUAUGGUGCCAAAUAGACACAGUAAUAGAAACUUCUGGGUAAAGUUAUAGAAAUAGAGUUAAUAUUGAUGCUGUACCUCAAAGUCUGAACUAAUAGUAAUUCAAGAUAGACACAAUCAUUUUCUACAAUUUCCCUAAUAGAGUCUUUACAAUGAAAGCGCUCUUUGGCAUGAGCAGGUAUGGAUUUAUGAGGGGUACAAAAAGAAUGACAAAUGAUGCAAGGAUCAGCCAGGUGAUGAAAGAACACCACUAAAUUAUUAAUUUAUGUUCUAAGAUAUACAGAGACAGUCUCACACACAUUCAAUCUACCAAAAAGGAAACAGCCUUUGCUUUGCUGCAUACUACUGUGAAACUAAUAUUUGCAUAGAUUAUUCACAUUAACAAGAUAGGACAUGAAUAGUUUUUAUAUUGGCAUAAAAGGCAUGCAAUGUUUUUACAUUUUAUGCCAAUAUAAGUUUUGUUUAUUGAAGUAUGAUACAUAAAAAUGUUCAUAUUUUAUGCAUAAAAUGUGAAGUAGCAAAAUCCCCCUAAGUGUUUCUAAAUAAAUGUAUCAUUUCAAAGCCAGCAGGUUGAGUGAAUAGUGAGUGCUAUGUAGACUACUGCCACAGAAAAACAGUGCUUGGAUUGGGAAAAGAGCACCUUAGGAUUCCUAUUGGGAAAUUUAACUUUAAUUAUUACAUUUUGAGGAUUGGUUUAAACUACAUUCACAAGUGAUGUUAGUCAGUGGUUUUCUUUUUUGUGAUUUAUUUGGUUAGCUUUGGUAUCAGGAAAACACAGCUCAGAAUGAGUAGGGAAGCAUUCCUUCCUAUUUGGGGGUAGAGUGAGGGGGGACAGAAUUGCCACUGUUUCUUCCCAAAAUAUUUGCAAAAAUAAAGCAGCAAAGACCAAUAGGCCUAGGCUAUUUGUUGUGAGAAAUGUUAAAAUCACUAAUUAGGGGCCGGGGUUGUGGCACAGGCACCAGUUCCAGUCCUGGUUGCUCUGCUUUAGAUCCAGCUGCCUGCUAAUGUGCUUAAGACAGCAGCUGAAGAUGACCCAAGUACAUGGGCUCCUGAUGGCUAUGAGGCAGACCAAGAUGGAGUUCCUGGCGCCUGGCUCCAGCCUGGCCCACCCUGGGUCAUUCUGCACAUUUGAAGAAUAAAGAUCUCUCUGGGUAUUUGUCUCUGCAUCUCUUUGUCAGUCUUCCAAAUAAAUUAAUAAAUAUUUUUUUAAAAACCAGUAAUUGGCAGGCGCCGUGGCUCACUAGGCUAAUCCUCCGCCUGCGGCGCCAGCACUCCAGAUUCUAGUCCAAGUUGGGGCACCGAAUUCUGUCCCGGUUGCCCCCCUUCCAGGCCAGCUCUCUGCUGUGGCCCGGGAGUGCAGUGGAGGAUGGCCCAAGUGCUUGGGCCCUGCACCCCAUGGGAGACCAGGAGAAGCACCUGGCUCCUGCCUUCUGAUCAGCGCGGUGCACCGGCUGCAGCUCUCCGGCCGCAGCAGCCAUUGGGGAGUGAACCAACGGAAAAGGAAGACCUUUCUCUCUGUCUCUCUGUCUCUCUCACUGUCUAACUCUGCCUGUCAAAAAAAAAAAAAAAAAAAAAAACCUGGUAAUUUUCCUCCUUUGUAUUCACUUACGUCAGAUGUCAGUUGUGAUGCCUCCUUUUCAUCUCUAAUUUUAAUCAUUUGAGUUUUUUCUCUUUUUUCUUUGUUAGUCUGGCUAGAGGUUUAUCUUUUGUUUAUCUUCUCAAAAAACCAACUUUUUGUUUUGUUGACCUUUUGUAUUUUUUUUAGUUUUAAUUUCAUUUAUUUCUAUUCCAAUACUUAUUAUUUUCACCUCCUGUCUAUUUUGGGUUUGGUUUGUUAUUGUUGCCUUUUUCAUUUUUUUGUCUUCAAGAUGCAUCAUUAGGUCUUUAAUUUUAGACAUUUUAGACACUGGUCUUUAAUUUUAGACAUUUCUCUCUUUUUUUAAUAUAAGCACUUAAUGCUAUAAAAUUCCCUUUUAAGCCCAUGAGAGCAUUUCAGGCAUGGAAAGCCAAGACACUGUGGCAAAAAAAAUUACCUAAAUGAAAGAUCUCUGUGAGUGAGAUACCGGUGGAAAGAAGGGGCCAUUAAAGAGGGAGGUACCUUUCUCUGAAGGAAGGAGAGAACUUUCACUUUGACUAUGGCUUUGUCUAAAUAAGGUUGGAGUUUGUGAAUUCAAGUGGCUUCCAGAGCCUUGGCAGCUCAUGACAAGAGCCUUGGGUGAUCACUGACAUCAUAAAUAAGAGUGUCAAUUGUUAAAUCAGUAAGAGUCACUGAGUUCUUCUCCCCAUGUAGGAACUCUGCCCUUAAUGAAUUGUACUAUGAGAAUUAAUGGUAAAACUAGUCUUCAAACAGCACUUUAUGCUUUUUGUGUCUGUGUGGGUGCAAACUGUUGAAAUCUUUACUUAGUAUAGUGUUGAUCUUCUGUAUAUAAAGAUAAUUAAAAAUAAACCUUAAUGAAGAAUAGGAUGGGAGAGGGAGAGGGAGAUGGGAUGGUUUGGGGGUGACAUGGAGGGAAUGGGGGGAUGAACUGCUAUAAUCCAAAAAUUGUACUUAUGAAAUUUAUGUUUAUUAAAUAAAAUCCCUCUAUAAAAAACAAUUAGAGCAUAAGAAUUAAUUUGUUGAGAUUUUGCUUUUUAGGACAUAUAUGCUUUACACAAUCAUGGUAAGCACUUUCUGAAACAAGUAUACAAUGUUAUAAAAUACA